AUUGAACGCUGGCGGCAGGCCUAACACAUGCAAGUCGAACGCAGUGGGGACGGGUGAGUAACACGUGGGUAACCUCCCAUCAGAGGGGAUAACACUUGGAAACAGGUGCUAAACCGAUACUGAUGGAUGGACCCGAGGUGCAUUAGCUCGUUGGUGAGGUAACGGCUCACCAAGGCGCCGAUGCAUAGCGGACCUGAGAGGGUGAUCGGCCACCGUGGGAUUGAGACACGGCCCAGACUCCUACGGGAGGCAGCAGUAGGGAUUCUUCGGCAAUGGACGAAAGUCUGACCGAGCAACGCCGCGUGAGUGAUGAAGGUUUUCGGAUCGUAAAACUCUGUUGUUAGAGAAGCGGUAUCUAACCAGAAAGCCACGGCUAACUACGUGCCAGCAGCCGCGGUAAUAC
rnacentral:rRNA from 1 species